ensembl:snoRNA small nucleolar RNA SNORD99
CCUGAUCCAUGAUGAUGCUAUACAAUUUUGAGGACUGCUGGAUGAAGCUUGCGGAUAUGGGACUGAGAUCAGCC